rnacentral:sRNA from 1 species
GAGUCGGCUUUUCUACUGCUUCGGCUAGGGUACCUUGUGACCAUGUCUUCCAAGAAGAACAGAAAGCGGUUGAACCAAAGCGCGGAAAAUGGUUCGCCCUUGCCCUCUGCUGCUUCCUCUUGUGCGGAGGCACGGGCUCCUUCUGCUGGAUCAGACUUCGCGGCAACCUCCGGGACUCUGAGGGUGACCAACUUAUUAGAAAAGGUAGAUGACAAAAUUCCUAAAACAUUCCAGAAUUCCCUUAUUCAUCUUGGACUCAACACUAUGAAGUCUGCAAAUAUAUGUAUAGGUCGACCAGUGUUGCUUACUAGUUUGAAUGGAAAGCAAGAGGUGUAUACAGCCUGGCCUAUGGCAGGAUUCCCUGGAGGCAAGGUCGGCCUGAGUGAAAUGGCACAGAAAAAUGUGGGUGUGAGGCCUGGUGAUGCCAUCCAGGUCCAGCCUCUUGUGGGUGCUGUGCUACAGGCUGAGGAAAUGGAUGUGGCACUGAGUGACAAAGAUAUGGAAAUUAAUGAAGAAGAACUGACUGGUUGUAUCCUGAGAAAACUAGAUGGCAAGAUUGUUUUACCAGGCAACUUUCUGUAUUGUACAUUCUAUGGACGACCGUACAAGCUGCAAGUAUUGCGAGUGAAAGGGGCAGAUGGCAUGAUAUUGGGAGGGCCUCAGAGUGACUCUGACACUGAUGCCCAAAGAAUGGCCUUUGAACAGUCCAGCAUGGAAACCAGUAGCCUGGAGUUAUCCUUACAGCUAAGCCAGUUAGAUCUGGAGGAGACCCAGAUCCCAACAUCAAGAAGUACUCCUUAUAAACCAAUUGAUGACAGAAUUACAAGUAAAGCCAGUGAUGUUUUGCUGGAUGUUACACAGAGCGCUGGAGAUGGCAGUGGACUUAUGCUAGAGGAAGUCACAGGUCUUAAAUGUAAUUUUGAAUCUGCCAGAGAAGGAAAUGAGCAACUUACUGAAGAAGAGAGACUGCUAAAGUUCAGCAUAGGAGCAAAGUGCAAUACUGAUACUUUUUAUUUUAUUUCUUCAACAACAAGAGUCAAUUUUAUAGAGAUUGAUAAAAAUUCAAAAGAGCAAGACAACCAAUUCAAAGUAACUUAUGACAUGAUAGGAGGAUUAAGUAGCCAGCUGAAAGCAAUUAGAGAAAUAAUUGAAUUGCCCCUCAAACAGCCUGAGCUUUUCAAGAGUUAUGGAAUUCCUGCCCCUAGAGGAGUGUUACUUUAUGGUCCUCCAGGUACUGGAAAAACAAUGAUCGCCAGGGCUGUUGCUAAUGAAGUUGGAGCCUAUGUUUCUGUAAUUAAUGGUCCUGAAAUUAUAAGCAAAUUCUAUGGUGAGACUGAAGCAAAGUUACGUCAGAUAUUUGCUGAAGCCACUCUACGACACCCAUCAAUUAUUUUUAUUGAUGAGCUGGAUGCACUUUGUCCGAAAAGAGAGGGGGCCCAGAAUGAAGUGGAAAAAAGAGUUGUGGCUUCACUCUUAACACUGAUGGAUGGCAUUGGUUCAGAAGUAAGUGAAGGACAAGUGUUGGUUCUUGGGGCCACAAAUCGCCCUCAUGCCUUGGAUGCUGCUCUCCGAAGACCUGGGCGAUUUGAUAAAGAGAUUGAGAUUGGAGUUCCCAAUGCUCAGGACCGGCUAGAUAUUCUCCAGAAACUGCUUCGAAGGGUACCCCAUUUGCUCACUGAGGCUGAGCUGCUGCAGCUGGCAAAUAGUGCUCAUGGAUACGUUGGAGCAGACUUGAAAGUCUUGUGUAAUGAAGCAGGUCUCUGUGCCUUGCGGAGAAUCCUGAAAAAACAGCCUAACCUCCCUGAUGUCAAGGUGGCUGGACUGGUGAAGAUUACUCUGAAGGAUUUCUUGCAGGCAAUGAAUGAUAUCAGACCCAGUGCCAUGAGGGAAAUAGCAAUUGAUGUCCCAAAUGUAUCCUGGUCAGAUAUAGGAGGACUGGAAAGUAUCAAACUGAAGUUGGAACAGGCUGUGGAAUGGCCCUUAAAACAUCCAGAGUCUUUCAUUCGAAUGGGUAUUCAGCCACCUAAAGGGGUUCUUCUCUAUGGGCCACCUGGGUGCUCUAAAACAAUGAUAGCAAAGGCUUUGGCCAAUGAGAGUGGACUGAAUUUUCUAGCUAUAAAGGGGCCUGAAUUAAUGAAUAAAUAUGUUGGUGAAUCUGAAAGAGCAGUUAGAGAGACCUUCCGAAAAGCAAGAGCAGUGGCACCUUCCAUUAUUUUCUUUGAUGAACUGGAUGCCUUAGCAGUUGAAAGGGGCAGUUCUUUAGGUGCUGGGAAUGUAGCCGAUCGUGUUUUGGCUCAGCUCUUAACAGAAAUGGAUGGGAUUGAACAGCUAAAGGAUGUGACCAUUUUGGCAGCUACUAACCGUCCAGAUAGGAUAGACAAGGUACCACCUUCCCAGACUUUCUUGUUAUUGUAACGUUUAUUUCUUCAAACAGAUCAUAAAGCAAGCAGAUAUUAUCCAGGUGUGCAAAAGUGAUUAACCAUGUGAUUUUC